rnacentral:rRNA from 1 species
CCUACGGGUGGCAGCAGUGGGGAAUAUUGGACAAUGGGGGGAACCCUGAUCCAGCCAUGCCGCGUGUGUGAAGAAGGCCCUCGGGUUGUAAAGCACUUUCAGUGAGGAAGAACGCCUGGUGGUUAAUACCCAUCAGGAAAGACAUCACUCACAGAAGAAGCACCGGCUAACUCCGUGCCAGCAGCCGCGGUAAUACGGAGGGUGCGAGCGUUAAUCGGAAUUACUGGGCGUAAAGCGCGCGUAGGUGGCUUGAUAAGCCGGUUGUGAAAGCCCCGGGCUCAACCUGGGAACGGCAUCCGGAACUGUCAAGCUAGAGUGCAGGAGAGGAAGGUAGAAUUCCCGGUGUAGCGGUGAAAUGCGUAGAGAUCGGGAGGAAGACCAGUGGCGAAGGCGGCCUUCUGGACUGACACUGACACUGAGGUGCGAAAGCGUGGGUAGCAAACAGGAUUAGAUACCCGGGUAGUC